rnacentral:rRNA from 1 species
GAUGAACGCUGGCGGCGUGCCUAAUACAUGCAAGUCGAGCGAAUGGAUUAAGAGCUUGCUCUUAUGAAGUUAGCGGCGGACGGGUGAGUAACACGUGGGUAACCUGCCCAUAAGACUGGGAUAACUCCGGGAAACCGGGGCUAAUACCGGAUAACAUUUUGAACCGCAUGGUUCGAAAUUGAAAGGCGGCAUCGGCUGUCACUUAUGGAUGGACCCGCGUCGCAUUAGCGAGUUGGUGAGGUAACGGCUCACCAAGGCAACGAUGCGUAGCCGACCUGAGAGGGUGAUCGGCCACACUGGGACUGAGACACGGCCCAGACUCCUACGGGAGGCAGCAGUAGGGAAUCUUUCGCAAUGGACGAAAGUCUGACGGAGCAACGCCGCGUGAGUGAUGAAGGCUUUCGGGUCGUAAAACUCUGUUGUUAGGGAAGAACAAGUGCUAGUUGAAUAAGCUGGCACCUUGACGGUACCUAACCAGAAAGCCACGGCUAACUACGUGCCAGCAGCCGCCGUAACAC